rnacentral:precursor_RNA from 1 species
UGAGGACCGUAUUCAUGGAAGAGGAUUGAACAGACUACUGAGUUCUUAAGAGAAAAAUGGCACUUAAGAAAUUGAUGGUGAUAUCAAAGGAAGGUUACUUAUUACUCUUGGACUUUGAUGAUGAGGACGAUGACAUAAAAGUUUCAGAGGAGGCUCUUGCGGAAGAGAUGAAGUAGACGGUAUGUUGGAUAAAUCUGGAGUAAAGAACCCAGCAAUUGGUAAAGAUGAGAAUACAUCGCCUCAAGUAAAAGGAGGUGAAGACAUGGGAGAUGAAAUUGACAGUAUGUUGGCUACAUCUGGAGGUCUUUUCUCCUGAGAACACGGGACUCCAGCAUCUUCGGAUUCUGCUCUUGGAGGGGUUUGCCCCACAUCCUCUAUAUUGCAGAAAACAAGACUAGGCUCUACCUCUGUAGAUCAAGCACGACUGAAAUCCGUGCUCUCAAAAGAUGCUGGGGAGAAAGAGUGCCAUUCUUCACAAAUGCUGGAUCCUGCAGAUGUUCACCAUCUCAUGAGUAGGGCCUCAGAAGUCCCCCACCAUGCCAAAGGAUUCACAGACCUACCAAAUCUUUGAAAACCCCAUCAGAAAAGGCCCCUUCUGCCCAAGAUGUGUGCAGCUGAACAGAGCGUUGAGGAAACGUCAGUGAUUUUAUAACUACUUAUCAUGUUGGGAGAUUGUUGUGAUGAUUGCCUGGACCCUCAGAUGUUACACAGGCUGCAUCAUUGGGCUGAAAGUGAAUGGCCCAUGUGUUGCCACUGAUGUGAGCCAUUUGCCUGUUGUGCUUCA